UACGAAGGGGGCUAGCGUUGUUCGGAAUUACUGGGCGUAAAGCGCACGUAGGCGGACUUGUAAGUUGGGGGUGAAAUCCCGGGGCUCAACCCCGGAAUUGCCUUCAAGACUGCAAGUCUGGAGGUCAGGAGAGGCGAGCGGAAUUCCGAGUGUAGAGGUGAAAUUCGUAGAUAUUCGGAGGAACACCAGUGGCGAAGGCGGCUCGCUGGACUGAUACUGGCGCUGAGGUGCGAAAGCGUGGGGCGCAAACAUG
rnacentral:rRNA from 1 species